GCCUAAUACAUGCAAGUCGAGCGCACUGGCCCAACUGAUAUGACGUGCUUGCACUGAAUUGACGUUGGAUUCCCAGUGAGCGGCGGACGGGUGAGUAACACGUGGGCAACCUGCCCUGAAGCGGGGGAUAACAUCUGGAAACAGGUGCUAAUACCGCAUAACAACGAAAACCGCAUGGUUUUCGUUUCAAAGAUGGUUUCGGCUAUCACUUCAGGAUGGGCCCGCGGUGCAUUAGCUAGUUGGUAAGGUAACGGCUUACCAAGGCGAUGAUGCAUAGCCGAGUUGAGAGACUGAUCGGCCACAAUGGAACUGAGACACGGUCCAUACUCCUACGGGAGGCAGCAGUAGGGAAUCUUCCACAAUGGGCGCAAGCCUGAUGGAGCAACACCGCGUGAGUGAAGAAGGGUUUCGGCUCGUAAAGCUCUGUUGUUGGAGAAGAACGUGCGUGAGAGUAACUGUUCACGCAGUGACGGUAUCCAACCAGAAAGUCACGGCUAAC
rnacentral:rRNA from 2 species